rnacentral:rRNA from 1 species
CCUACGGGUGGCAGCAGUGAGGAAUAUUGGUCAAUGGGCGCGAGCCUGAACCAGCCAAGUAGCGUGAAGGAUGACUGCCCUACGGGUUGUAAACUUCUUUUAUCAAGGAAUAAAGUGAGCCACGUGUGCCUUUUUGUAUGUACUUUAUGAAUAAGGAUCGGCUAAAUCCGGUCCAGCAGCCGGGGUAAUACGGAGGAUCCGAGCGUUAUCCGGGUUUAUUGGGUUUAAAGGGAGCGUAGAUGGGUUUUUAAGUCCGUUGUGAAAGUUUGCGGCCUAACCGUAAUAUUGCAUUUGAUACUGGCAGUCUUGAGUAGAGUGGAAGUAGGCGGAAUGCGUGGUGUAGCGGUGAAAUGCUUAGAUAUCACGAAGAACUCCGAUUGCGAAGGCAGCAUACUAACCUGCCACUGACACUGAAGCUCGAAAGUGUGGGUAUCAAACAGGAUUAGAUACCCCUGUAGUC